UACGAAGGGGGCUAGCGUUGUUCGGAAUUACUGGGCGUAAAGCGCACGUAGGCGGAUAUUUAAGUCAGGGGUGAAAUCCCGGGGCUCAACCCCGGAACUGCCUUUGAUACUGGGUAUCUCGAGUCCGAGAGAGGUGAGUGGAAUUCCGAGUGUAGAGGUGAAAUUCGUAGAUAUUCGGAAGAACACCAGUGGCGAAGGCGACUAACUGGACAUGUAUUGACGCUGAGGUGCGAAAGCGUGGGGAGCAAACAGG
rnacentral:rRNA from 1 species